rnacentral:rRNA from 1 species
GAUGAACGCUGGCGGCGUGCCUAAUACAUGCAAGUCGAACGAGGUGCUUUUGUAGCAAUACGGAGGUAUCCUAGUGGCGAACGGGUGAGUAACGCGUUGGUGACCUGUCCCAAAGUGUGGGAUAACAGUCCGAAAGGAUUGCUAAUACCGCAUGUGGUCCCCGGGUUUAGAAACCGGUGACUAAAGGAGUAAUUCGCUUUGGGAGGGACCUGCGUCCCAUCAGCUAGUUGGUGAGGUAACGGCUCAUCAAGGCGACGACGGGUAGGGGACCUGAGAGGGUGGCCCCCCACAAUGGAACUGAAACACGGUCCAUACACCUACGGGUGGCAGCAGUAGGGAAUAUUGCUCAAUGGGCGAAAGCCUGAAGCAGCAACGCCGCGUGCACGAUGAAGGCCUUCGGGUCGUAAAGUGCUUUUCUGCGAGAUGAGAAAGGACAGUAUCGUAGGAAUAAGUCUCGGCUAACUACGUGCCAGCAGCCGCAGUAAAAC